rnacentral:rRNA from 1 species
ACAUGCAAGUCGAACGAAGCACUUUGAUCGAUUUCUUCGGAUUGAAAUUUUAGUGACUGAGUGGCGGACGGGUGAGUAACGCGUGGGUAACCUGCCUCACACAGGGGGAUAACAGUUGGAAACGGCUGCUAAUACCGCAUAAGCGCACAGUACCGCAUGGUACAGUGUGAAAAACUCCGGUGGUGUGAGAUGGACCCGCGUCUGAUUAGCUAGUUGGCAGGGCAACGGCCUACCAAGGCGACGAUCAGUAGCCGACCUGAGAGGGUGACCGGCCACAUUGGGACUGAGACACGGCCCAAACUCCUACGGGAGGCAGCAGUGGGGAAUAUUGCACAAUGGGGGAAACCCUGAUGCAGCGACGCCGCGUGAGCGAAGAAGUAUUUCGGUAUGUAAAGCUCUAUCAGCAGGGAAGAAGAAAUGACGGUACCUGACUAAGAAGCACCGGCUAAAUACGUGCCAGCAGCCGCGGUAAUACGUAUGGUGCAAGCGUUAUCCGGAUUUACUGGGUGUAAAGGGAGCGCAGGCGGAAGGCUAAGUCUGAUGUGAAAGCCCGGGGCUCAACCCCGGUACUGCAUUGGAAACUGGUCAUCUAGAGUGUCGGAGGGGUAAGUGGAAUUCCUAGUGUAGCGGUGAAAUGCGUAGAUAUUAGGAGGAACACCAGUGGCGAAGGCGGCUUA